rnacentral:lncRNA from 1 species
UUUUUUUUUUUUUUUUUUUUCAUGUGCAAAACUUCUUCACAAAAUUUUAGCAAAUAAAAUUCAACAACAUAUAAAAAGUAUAAUUGUUAUGAUCAAGUGGCAUUUAUUCUAGUAAUGCAAGUUUGGCUUGACACUUAAAAAUCAAUCAAUGUAAUUUCCCAUAGUAAUAGAUAUAAAAGAAAAACCACAUGAUCAUCUCAACAGGCAUGGAAAAAGCAUUUGGCAAAUUUCAAUGUCUAUUUGAGACAAAAACUCUCAGAAACCAGGAGUAAAAUGGAACUUCCUUAACCUGAAAAAAGAUAUUUUAUAAAAAUAAAGCAAAGACCCUACAAUUAAUACCAUACUUUAUGGUAAAAGCUUGAAUGCUUUCUCCCUGAGAUCUAGAAGCAGCCCAGAUGUUCACUCUUUCCGCUCCUACUCAGUAUAUACUGGAAGUUGUAGCAAAUGCAGAAAAAGAAAAGCUUACAGAAAGGAAAGGAAGAAAUAAAAUUGUUUCCAUUUACAGAUAGUAGAAAAUGCCAUGGAAUCUUCAAAAAUGUGCUAGAACUUAAAAAUGAGUUAAUAAUUAGCAAAGCCACAGGAUCCAAGUAAACACACAAAAAUCAAUCAUGUUUCUGUAUAUUCUAAUAUUGAACAAGUGGAAACAUAAAUGUUUAAAAACAUUACUAUUGGGACGCCUGGGUGGCUCAGUGGUUGAGCGUCUGCCUUUGGCUUAGGGCAUGACCCUAGGAUCCAGGAUCCAGUCCCACAUUGCGCUCCUUGCAGGGAGCCUGAUUCUCCCUCUGCUUAGGUCUCUGCCUCUCUCUCUCUAUCUCCCUCUCUCUCUCUCUCUUUUUUUUAAUUUUAUUUAUUUAUGAGAGACACAGAGAGAGGCAGAGACACAGUCAGAGGGAGAAGCAGGCCCCUUGCAGGGAGCCCCAUGUGAGACUCGAUCCCAAGACUCCAGGAUCAUGCCCUGGGCCAAAGGCAGGUGCUAAACUGAUGAGCCACCCAAGCAUCCCAUCUCUCUCUUUCUGUGUGUCUCAUGAGUAAAUAAAUAAAUAAAAUCUUUUUAAAAAGUAAAAAUAAAAACAUUACUAUUACAAUAGCACAGAUAUACUUAGAUAUAAAUCUAACAAAUAUGUGCAGAACAAUCAUAGAAAAAAGUCACAGAAAACAAAAAAGGCAGA